GGGGCUGUAGCUCAGUGGUAGAGCACUUGUCUCACACACCAGGCACUGGGUUCAAUCCUCAGCACCCCG
rnacentral:tRNA from 1 species